UUGGGCGGGCAGGGGAUGACAAGGCUUCCACUCCUGGGAGCAAGAGUCCCGCCCCCCGGCCGGGAUGGACCAAUCCCAAGGCCUCUCCUUCCGGGCCUCGGGGAUUGGUCCGAGAGCGCACAUGAUCCAGCGCACGUGACCAAGGCGGCGGCGUCUUUCAGUCGGGUUAGUAUCCGCGCGGGGGAAGGGCCUUAGAGACCCAGACUCGAAACCAGGGUUCCGGACAGCGAAGCUCGUGGCCUGUCGGCCGAGUCUCGACCUCCACACGGGGCGACAGCAAGUCGGGUUCGAAUAGUUGCUAAAUUAAAAGCCCGCCUAAAACGUGAGCUGGACCUCAGUUCCCUCGCCUGUGAACCAGUGUUGGCGGAAGAACAAGGUUGCCCGAGGCCCAUGUGAGGCUAGGGGCGUGGAAGUGCACUGCCCAGUAGGAAGCGGGCCGAGUGCCUGGCGGGACUCAGCGGCCCUGGGGAGCGGGCAAGCGGUUCCAUCUGCCCAGAAAGGUGACCGUGGUUCGCGGGUUGAGCAGAGCAGAGCCCCCUGCCUUGGCUGACUUCAGCGACCAGUCGUACAUAUCCUAGGGCAGCGGGCCUAGGCCAGCUCCUGCUUGAGGGGGGCAGGAACAGGGAGACGGAGGGAAGAUGUCGGUGCAGACGGUCCUGCUCUGCCCGGUUCCCGCAGGCAAGAUUCUAGUUAAGUGACACCAAUCCCCCAGCACGGUUCUGAUCCCAGUGACCGCAGCGUGUUCACCUGAGUAACUGUGUCAAGUACCAACUGCUGCGGGCUACUCAGCCCGCAGACCGAUAGCAGACGCGCCAGAGCCACCUCCUGACGCGACGCUGCCUUCAAAGCCAUUGGUCACCCCACACCUGCUCCUCAGUUCCCAGGCAGCCGUGAUCAACCCACUUUCCAUGUUACAAAAAGGCAUCACUGGCCAAAAGGUGAACGUGCAGGAGAGGCACAGAGCGCUAAUACCGCUGAAAGGGCCGCUCGGGGGGAACAGUGACGGGGCCCUGGGAGGAAGAGCUGACAGAGAGGUCGCAGACUCUGCCGCUGCUCCAGAGAUGGACAUGCAUGGCCGGAGGAACCUGGUGACACAACGUGUAGACAUGAGUGAGGACGGUGACGAGAAGGAUGAAUACGCCUCAAGGAGGUGGUCCCAGCAGAAAACUUCACGGUAAAGGGCUCAGAGGUGUUUCAGUCACUGACAGUGCAAAGAUCAUGGUGGAGGCUGAUCCAGACCUAGGAGGGACAAGACCCUUCACCGUGGAGGAGGGAAGACAUUCCCCCCUGUUGUAAGUUACACAGUGAGCAGAAGGUGAGCUCUGUUCCAACUACUGUUGACAAGUUUUUUUUUUUAAUCAUAAAAUACUAUUAUUGGAGCAUCUGCACCAUUAAAGAAUUUUAUUUUAAUUUAAAAUAUAUAAAAGAAAAGUAUGUUUAUAUAUAAAACCUUAUUCAUGUAUUUGCCAAUUGUACUAGAUACAUAGUUGCUUUCAACCCUCCUUUAACCCCUUAUCUAUUUGCAGAGCUUGGAAAACUCUGCAAAAAAUCUAUGUUUCCCAGACUCUCUUGCAGUAUAGUCGAUUAAAAUGUUUCUGGUGUACAGCAUAGUGA